rnacentral:rRNA from 1 species
CUGGCUCAGGAUGAACGCUGGCGGCGUGCCUAACACAUGCAAGUCGAACGAAGGUAUAUAUAGGAAGUCUUCGGAUGGAAUAUGUAUAACUUAGUGGCGGACGGGUGAGUAACGCGUAAGUAAUCAACCUGUGACACACGGAUAACUGAUAGAAAUGUCAGCUAAUACGAGAUGAACUGUUUAAAUUGGGAAAUGGAAACAGCAA